rnacentral:rRNA from 1 species
UACAGAGGUCCCGAGCGUUGUUCGGAUUCACUGGGCGUAAAGGGUGCGUAGGUGGCUGGGAAAGUUUGAUGUGAAAGCUCAGGGCUUAACCCUGAAAUGGCAUUGAAUACUGCCUGGCUGGAGGUUUGGAGGGGGACUGGAAUUCUUGGUGUAGCAGUGAAAUGCGUAGAUAUCAAGAGGAACACCAGUGGCGAAGGCGAGUCCCUGGACAACACCUGACACUGGAGGCACGAAAGCCGGGGAGCAAACAGG